rnacentral:rRNA from 1 species
UACGUAGGGACCAAGCGUUGUUCGGAUUUACUGGGCGUAAAGCGUGUGUAGGCGGACUUCUAAGUACCUUGUGAAAUCCCACGGCUCAACCGUGGAACUGCUCGGUAUACUGGUUGUCUUGAGCCACUUAGGGGCUACCGGAACAAAUGGUGGAGCGGUGAAAUGCGUAGAUAUCAUUUGGAACGCCAAUGGUGAAAACAGGUAGCUGGGAGUGUGCUGACGCUGAGACACGAAAGCCAGGGGAGCGAACGGG